rnacentral:rRNA from 1 species
GAUGAACGCUGGCGGCGUGCCUAAUACAUGCAAGUCGAGCGAACUGAUUAGAAGCUUGCUUCUAUGACGUUAGCGGCGGACGGGUGAGUAACACGUGGGUAACCUGUCUGUAAGACUGGGAUAACUUCGGGAAACCGAAGCUAAUACCGGAUAGGAUCUUCUCCUUCAUGGGAGAUGAUUGAAAGAUGGUUUCGGCUAUCACUUACAGAUGGGCCCGCGGUGCAUUAGCUAGUUGGUGAGGUAACGGCUCACCAAGGCAACGAUGCAUAGCCGACCUGAGAGGGUGAUCGGCCACACUGGGACUGAGACACGGCCCAGACUCCUACGGGAGGCAGCAGUAGGGAAUCUUCCGCAAUGGACGAAAGUCUGACGGAGCAACGCCGCGUGAGUGAUGAAGGCUUUCGGGUCGUAAAACUCUGUUGUUAGGGAAGAACAAGUACGAGAGUAACUGCUCGUACCUUGACGGUACCUAACCAGAAAGCCACGGCUAACUACGUGCCAGCCGCCGCCGUAACAC